rnacentral:rRNA from 1 species
AUUGAACGCUGGCGGCAUGCUUUACACAUGCAAGUCGAACGGUAACAGGCCGCAAGGUGCCGACGAGUGGCGAACGGGUGAGUAAUGCAUCGGAACGUGCCCAGUCGUGGGGGAUAACGCAGCGAAAGCUGCGCUAAUACCGCAUACGAUCUGUGGAUGAAAGCGGGGGACCGAAAGGCCUCGCGCGAUUGGAGCGGCCGAUGUCAGAUUAGGUAGUUGGUGGGGUAAAGGCCCACCAAGCCAACGAUCUGUAGCUGGUCUGAGGGGACGACCAGCCACACUGCGACUGAGACACGGCCCAGACUCCUACGGGAGGCAGCAGUGGGGAAUUUUGGACAAUGGGCGCAAGCCUGAUCCAGCAAUGCCGCGUGCAGGAGGAAGGCCUUCGGGUUGUAAACUGCUUUUGUACGGAACGAAACGGCUCUGGUUAAUACCUGGGGCUAAUGACGGUACCGUAAGAAUAAGCACCGGCUAACUACGUGCCAGCAGCCGCGGUAAUAC